rnacentral:rRNA from 1 species
UACGGGGGGUGCAAGCGUUGUUCGGAAUCAUUGGGCGUAAAGCGCGCGUAGGCGGCUUGUUAAGUCGGAUGUGAAAGCCCUGGGCUCAACCUGGGAACUGCAUUCGAUACUGGCGGGCUAGAGUACGAUAGAGGGUGGUAGAAUUCCUAGUGUAGCGGUGAAAUGCGUAGAUAUUAGGAGGAAUACCGGUGGCGAAGGCGGCCACCUGGAUCGAUACUGACGCUGAGGCGCGAAAGUGUGGGUAGCAAACAGG